rnacentral:rRNA from 1 species
GACGAACGCUGGCGGCGUGCCUAAUACAUGCAAGUCGAGCGCAGGAAACUGACGGAACUCUUCGGAGGGAAGGCAGUGGAAUGAGCGGCGGACGGGUGAGUAACACGUAAGGAACCUGCCUCAAGGAUUGGGAUAACUCCGAGAAAUCGGAGCUAAUACCGGAUAGUUCAUCGGACCGCAUGGUCCGUUGAUGAAAGGCGCUCCGGCGUCACCUUGAGAUGGCCUUGCGGUGCAUUAGCUAGUUGGUGGGGUAACGGCCCACCAAGGCGACGAUGCAUAGCCGACCUGAGAGGGUGAGCGGCCACAAUGGGACUGAGACACGGCCCAGACUCCUACGGGAGGCAGCAGUAGGGAAUCUUCCACAAUGGACGAAAGUCUGAUGGAGCAGCGCCGCGUGAACGAUGAAGGCCUUCGGGUCGUAAAGUUCUGUUGUAAGGGAAGAACAAGUGCCGCAGGCAAUGGCGGCACCUUGACGGUACCUUGCGAGAAAGCCACGGCUAACUACGUGCCAGCAGCCGCAGUAA